rnacentral:rRNA from 1 species
UACGUAGGGUGCAAGCGUUAAUCGGAAUUACUGGGCGUAAAGCGUGCGCAGGCGGUUAUGUAAGACAGGUGUGAAAUCCCCGGGCUUAACCUGGGAACUGCAUUUGUGACUGCAUAGCUAGAGUACGGUAGAGGGGGAUGGAAUUCCGCGUGUAGCAGUGAAAUGCGUAGAUAUGCGGAGGAACACCGAUGGCGAAGGCAAUCCCCUGGACCUGUACUGACGCUCAUGCACGAAAGCUAGGGGAGCAAACAGG